CCUACGGGGGGCUGCAGUGGGGAAUAUUGGACAAUGGGGGGAACCCUGAUCCAGCCAUGCCGCGUGUGUGAAGAAGGCCCUCGGGUUGUAAAGCACUUUCAGUGAGGAAGAACGCCUGGUGGUUAAUACCCAUCAGGAAAGACAUCACUCACAGAAGAAGCACCGGCUAACUCCGUGCCAGCAGCCGCGGUAAUACGGAGGGUGCGAGCGUUAAUCGGAAUUACUGGGCGUAAAGCGCGCGUAGGUGGCUUGAUAAGCCGGUUGUGAAAGCCCCGGGCUCAACCUGGGAACGGCAUCCGGAACUGUCAAGCUAGAGUGCAGGAGAGGAAGGUAGAAGUCCCGGUGUAGCGGUGAAAUGCGUAGAGAUCGGGAGGAAUACCAGUGGCGAAGGCGGCCUUCUGGACUGACACUGACACUGAGGUGCGAAAGCGUGGGUAGCAAACAGGAUUAGAUACCCGAGUAGUC
rnacentral:rRNA from 1 species